UACAGAGGGGGCAAGCGUUAUUCGGAAUGACUGGGCGUAAAGGGCGCGUAGGCGGCUUGCCCAGUCAGGCGUGAAAUUCCUGGGCUCAACCUGGGGACUGCGCUUGAGACGUGUGGGCUUGAGUGGGGAAGAGGGUCGUGGAAUUCCCAGUGUAGAGGUGAAAUUCGUAGAUAUUGGGAAGAACACCGGUGGCGAAGGCGGCGACCUGGUCCUUGACUGACGCUGAGGCGCGAAAGCGUGGGGAGCAAACAGG
rnacentral:rRNA from 1 species